ACCACGCGGGUGGUUGGAACCAUAGGAUACAUGGCACCUGAGGUGGUUCGAAGUGGAAGAGCCUCAGCUCAAACCGACGUGUUCGGUUUUGGGGUCUUGAUUUUGGAGGUCAUGUGUGGAAGGAGGCCUAUAGAAGAAGGGCAGCCACCUUUGUUAGAAUCGGUUUGGCAGUUGAUGAUGCAAGGGCAGUCACUUUAUGCCUUGGAUGAGCGACUAAAGGCUAGAGGAGAACAAUUUGACGAAGGAGAAGUAGAGAGAAUGCUUCAUCUAGGCUUAUUGUGUGCAUAUCCUGACUCUAAAGUGCGGCCGACAAUGAGGCAAGUAGUGAAGGUCAUGGAGGGCAAUAAUGAGCUUAGUGAGAUUGAAAGUGAGGAUAUGGAUGCAUGUUUGCUACAACAGAUGAAGUCUAAGGAUUUUUGGUCGAGUUAUUCUCAAAGUUCUAGCCAUGGAUCGCACCCAACUUUUGAUGAAAUUAGACGACACCACUCAUCUUCUAUGUCUUUAUCUUGGAGCAAUACUAUAGUGGAGGGUAGGUGAAUCUGCAAUCAGUUGAUGAAUUACGCUAUCUGUUGGUUAUUUUUGCAAAUUUAAUGAACUAAAAUUUGCCAGAUUUUCCGUGGCAAGCUUGGAAGAAGCUGCAGAAGUUGGCAGGAUCAAGAUCCAAGAGCAUAAAAAAUGAAACAGUGGGGAGGGAGCCUUGAUUUUGAUUUGCAUUUUUUCUUUAUUAAUGUUUGAUAGAUUGGGACAAUAAUGUAGAGGAGAAUCCUUUCUUGUUUCUGUACAAGGAAUAACUAGCAUAUUGGUGUACAUAAAUACAGCAAAUCCACAGAUGUUUUUUUUCUUAAAUUUCUCUUCCUCUUUGCUAACUUGUCACCUUUGUCUUUGCACAUUCUUCAAGCUUAAGAAAUUUAAGUGGAGUUGUUGGUUUUAAAACCAAAAACCUCACUGACCAUCAUGACUAGAAGAAGUACUAUAUGCAUGCUCUAGUCAAUUCACCAUAUAUAUAUAUAUAGAAGAGAAUAAAGCACCAGUAUGAUCAUUACGCAUGUUUUUUUUGUCACAUUACACUAGGCUAGGAAUGACUAUUAUUAGGUGAGUAGGUGGUGGGCAGGGAGGAGUAUUGCUUUUUAGCGAGAUAGAAAGUUAAACUUUGUCGUAAUGGUACAAGAUUUCUGUCAAAAACACCUGCCUGCUAUUUUGCUUCUGUGUUUGACUAGGAAAUAGGCGUGCUAUUAGUUAUAAUUAAUAAUUUAAUCCACACGUUUAUACCAACAAGCACCAGUGGUCUAGUGGUAGAAUAGUACCCUGCCACGGUACAGACCCGGGUUCGCCACGUCGACAGGGCCUUUUUGGGUCUGUCAUAUCCCACAAUGUUUUUGACUUCAGACUUUUUUGUCCUUGUCCCUUCUUAAAUGGUUGUCCUUGUCCCUUCUUAAAUGGGCCUUUUUGUCUCUUCUUAAAUGGGCCUUUUUGUCUCUUCUUAAAUGGGCCUGAAGUGCACACUGUUAAGUGUUACCCAAUGCUCUAAAGCCCAUAUAAAACUCAUUAUUCCCAGUUUAAUGAUGGGCCGGUCUAUGAUCGGCCAAUAAAAAAACAUCAUUUCCAGGCCUUAAUUUUUUUAUUUUUUUUAAUCUGAAAAUACUCUGUUUAGAAUGAAAAAAAGAAAAAAAAUGUAGCAUUUGUCAAUAAAAAAAAAAAAAAAGAGGUUAGCUUUGGCCAGUUUAGUGUAUGCCAUACUCCUAUCUCUAGUCUCUAUGAAACUCGGAUUUGGUGUACUAGAGGAGUAAAAAAAGGAGCUUAAAAAAAGUAGCUAUUUUUAUUUUAUUUUAUAGCUUUAAAUGGACAGACAAAUGAAGAGCUAUAAUAAUUUUUCUAUUAAAGAAAAAUAAUUCCUACGUAUCUAAUCAAAAGAGCAAAAAUAUUAAAAUAGAUUAUUUAAAUAUUUUUUUUAUCUCCACAACUUUUCUCAUCACUUUUCUAAAAAAAGCUGAAAGUAUUAAUUUUAAAUAUAUUAAAAUAGAAAUGGGUUGUUAAAUCUCUUGUUGGACCUAUGAUUUUAUUUUAUUUAGUUUAAUGUAGAUGUUCGAGUCAGCUCGUGCACAUUUCAACUAAAUCCACGAGCCUUGAAGUAGUUUAGCUGGACCCAUGAUUUCCUCGUAUUAAAACGGGUUCGUUUGUUAGUAAGGGAAUUGUUAUUUUUACUUGAAAAAAAAAAAAAUUCCUUGUCCCGUCUGUGAAGAGAAAGUGUAACUCACAAAAGUAGCUUCCAGUGGUAUUCCAACCAAAAUAGAUGCUUUCCAAAAGCUGCUUCAUCUCUUUAGUUACAGUAGCUUGGUUGCUGAAGUAAUCCUGGGGGGCCCCUGUACAGGUAAGCAGUUAACAAUCAUUAUUUGCGAAGUAAGCAAAACAUAAAGUAUAGUUACAGACGCGAAUUGUUCAUAAAAUUCUAGAAGUUCAGGGGUUAAUUUAGAAACUAGAGUUUUAAUUUAAUCUUUUUCCAUAAGUCCACAGGUAGCAAAGGUUUUUUUUAUAUAUAAAAAUAAAUCUAAUUUGAAGGGAUUGAUGUCAAAUGAUCAAUCCACGCAUUUUCAUUUUUAGAGAUAAUGUAAAAUGAAUUAAAAAAAUCAGGAUAAUUAAUAACAAUAUAAUUUUUUAAAAAAAAUACAUAAUAAAUAUAUUCUUUUGUGAAAAAUAGAUGUUUUAAGAGAGACGUAGUUAUUUAUUUAAAUAUAACUAUUUUUUUAAUUAAAUCUGUGUAAUUAAUGUUUUAAGAAAUUACUUAAUUUUAGUAAAAAUAAUUAGUUCAAUAAUACCCUUAUCAUGACAAGAAGAUACUUUAACUUCUUGUUAUUACUUUAAAUCCAUUGUAUUAUAAGAAAAAUUAAAAGAGGUGUUUUCAAUAGUGUUUUCUCUUCCCCUUUUUUUUUUGUUCUAAGAGAAUUUUUUGCUUUGGUAUCAAAUUUUUGUUUAAUUUCAUCCCUAUAAGUUAUAUUAGCCUAGAUUGAGGCUGAUAAUUUGUUUCAGUUAGCUUGAUAUAUGGUUCUCGAGGUGUCAAAAAUAUAUUCCAAUAUUAAAUUAAUGUUAUAUUUACCAAGAAAAUAUUUUAUCUUACUGCUAAAAAAAUUAAAACUUUAGGAAUUGAAUGUGACUCUUAAACAAAAAUACAAUAUUUUUUAUUUUUUUCUUUACUGUUCAUGAGGCACAUUUUUUUUUAGUUUUGGUCCCUAAAAUUUUUUUAUUUAUGUGUUUUUGUGUUUUUUAUGUUUUAGCCCACAACUUCAUUUUGUUUCUAUUUCAGUUCCUAAACUUAAGAGAUAAGAGAAAGAGUUGUCAAAUAGAAAGGGAGAAGAGAAAGUAGUUAAUUGAUCAUAUUCCAACAAGAAAAAAAACCCAUUAUUGGUGUCAAUAAAUUUCAUUUGACAAUUGAGAUUCAAUUGAUGUGUUUUACCCUUCAUCUUGCUAGUGAAAAUAGAUUCAUCUUGCUAAUGAAAAUAGAUUGGAGAUUGAGUUUUCUUUUUAGAUCAUGAUGGAUUUUUAAAUUUCUGAGAGAUUAAAAGUUGUUUUAAAGUUAGAUAUGGGUUAAUUGAAAAUUUUCUAGUGUUUCUUAGGUAUUUUCUUAUGAAAAUAGAUUGAAAACAAGUUUUUUUUUUUAAUCUAAUUACUUGAUAUCCUGACAACUUUUCAACUAACUAAGGUGAUCAGAAUGCAACUAAUGAAUGAUGAAUUUCUGUCCAUUGUAAGAAAAAGAAAAAAAAAUAAAAGAAAGCCAGAUGCUCGAGUUUGGCCUUGUACACCUUGUCUUUUUUUAGUGAGACGGGUGUCCUGGCCCAGUUAGACCCAAUCCAGUAGUGAGACGGGUGUCCUGGCCCAGUUAGACCCAAUCCAGUUGUCUAAUCUCUUUUUAAGUCUUUAUAUAUAUAACCAAUUAAAAACAUUUUGGGAUAUUAUUUUAUUAAUUAAGAAUGUUAUAAUCUUAUUUUCGAAUAAGAUUAUCACAUUGUUUUUAUAAUAUUUUCAAGAUUGUUUUUUUGCAGACCUUUAUGAUUCCUUUUUUUAAAUUUUUUUUAUUUUGGUGGCUUUCCUGCAUGUAUUUUUUUUUAUUAUUAUAUAAUUAAAUAAAAAAUAGUUUUAAAAUAAUAAGCUAUUAAACCUAAUCGGGUCUAUGACCCGGGUCACCGGUUUGAUAAGUGAAUUUGGCUUGACCUUGAUCAAUUUAAAAUGUUGUAGUCUUAAUAUUAGAAAAAUAAAACGAUGGCAUUUAGAAGUUUUUUUAACUAAGUUAAAUCAAGUUUUGACCGGGUCGAUCGAGUUAGUUUUGGAUCUACGAACUCGAUCCGAUCAUGUUAGAUCAACUCUCACGUGACUUAAUUUGAAACCCGAGUUAGAAAAGGAGUUAGGUUGAGUGACUCUAAAUUGACCCCUAGGCCAAACGGGGUUUAAUGAUACUAUCAAAGAAUUCCCCACAACAACGCAUGAAUAAUAUAGUAUUCUUAUUUUUUUAAUACAAUCCCGUUAAAAAUAUAAUAAUAUUAAUUUUUUAAUAAAAACUUAUUUUUAUGGUUAUGAUAAGAUUUUGUUUAAAAAACAAAUAUUAUUAUAAAAACUUUCUAGAAAAUUUGGGCACAAUAAUAAGAUAAAUGUGUUUUAAUUAGACAAUUGCCUUUUUAUUUUUAUUUUAAAUCGUUUAAUUUUUUUAUGUAAGUUUUGAUUGCUUUUGAUUUUCAUUAAUGAAUGACACAGAACAACAAAAUAUGUUUUUUUUAAGAGAUAGAAAAUAUUAAUAAGAAAAUGAGGAAUUAUACUAGUAAUUUAUUUUGAUUAAACUUAAAUUAUUACUUUUUUUUAUAUAAAAACAACUUAUUCUCAUAUAAAUACAUAAAUAAAUUUUAAGAGUUUUGUGUGAAUUCGCUAUAUUAAUCUUCAACUGUCUUUUAGAUUCUUGAUUUGAUUUUUAGUUGGAAUUAACAACUCUUUUUAAUAUUUUAUUGACAUGAAUAAUUCUUAAUUAAUUUUAUCAAUUAUACACAUCAAAUUUUAUAUUCAUAAUUAUUUUUUUUGCUACUAGAAAACUUGUUGAUAACAUCUACCUUUUCUCUUAAAAAAAUUAAUUUGCGCCAACUGCUAGUUUAACUAAUUUAAACUCCUAAUAAUUCAAGUGUGGAUUAUUUUUUAAAAUUAUUUUCUAUUAUCAUAAAAAGAAUUCGUAUUGCUAUUUAGGUAAUGCAGUUUCAAAUAUUUUGGUGGAGUAAAAUUCUAACUACAACAUCACUUAUUGAAGAAUAAAUUCAAGAUACGUAAAAAAUUUAAAAGUUUGAUUUUAAUAAUAAAAUCUUAGAUUUUUUGAGGUUGCAGUAAUUACAUUGCGGUGGCAUUAAAAAAUAAUAAUAAUAAUAAAUAAUAAUAAUUGCAUCAGUGAUAUUGUUGAGGCUAAAUGAAUUGUGUUAUUUUUUAAAAUAAUUUUUUAGCUAUACCCUUAAUCUAUGCCUUUUUUAUGUUUCCCUCAAGAAAUUUGAUGAAAAUUGAAGAAAUCUCCCCCCUUCUAUAUAUUCUCCUAGUGCCGGCCAAGUAUGGUUUGUUUGAGUGCUUGAAAAGUGUGUUAACGGUUGAUUUUUAAAUAAUUUUUCGUGCUGAAAUACAUGUCAAUGAUUUUUUUUUAUUUUUUAAAAAUUAUUUUUGAUAUCAGCACAUCAAAACGAUUCAAAACAUAUAAAUCAUAUUAAAUUUUAAUAAAAAAAAUUUAAAUUUUUUGGGAACGCGAUUUGGACCGCAUUCCCAAACGCAUUCUUAAAAAACCACAGUACUAUUUAUAAUUCCUCUAAUCCUCAUUAAUUACAACAAUGCUAUCAUUUCUUAUUACAAACACAAACACAAACACAUGCUCUAGUAUAUUGAUCAAUGUUUUCCAACGAGUUAAUAUUAUAUUUAUUUUUAAAUAUAAAAACAAUAUUAAAAAUAUUUAAAUUUUUGAUGAUAAUAUUGAAUCUAAGGUUCUUGGAUUUAACACCCACACUCCACAACGGGUUAAUUUCAUUUUUUUUAAAUAUAAAAAGAAAUAUAUUAAGAGUUUCUGUUCAUCAAUACCCUUGAAUUUCUCUUAAAAUAUAUCAAGUUGCCAUUGUAUCUGGACCCCAGUUCUUUUCUGCUACCUUACUCCUAGCUGUAUGAUCGUUUUGAGGUUGAUCGUGACUAUAAUUAAUACGAGAAGAAGAAGAAGAAGAAGAAACUAGAAAAGUCUGAACUUGCCUCAAAAAUCUUCAAAAUGAAGUUUCUCUAGUUUUUUUUUUUUUUUUUUUUUUUUUAUAUGAGAUCUGUAUGAACUUCAUGACCAGUUUUGGUUAUUAAAUUAAUAUACAUAUAUAUAUAUAUAUAUAUAUAUAUAUAUAUAUAUAUAUAUAUAUAUAUAAAAUCACCCUUAAUGUUAAAUGAAUAUUUAUAAUUAGACAAUAGUUAUAUGAGUUUAAUUUUAUGAUUGUUUUAAGUUCAAAUAUAAGAACAACUUUUCUUUUUUUAAAAAAAACAAUAAAUUAGAAACAUGAAUAUUGCCAACGUAUUUAAUUAUCAAAUCAUGUAACGUGUAACAUGCCUACAUGAGUUAAUAAAAUAAAAUAAAUAAAAUAUUUUUUUUGAAAAAACAAAUAAUAUUAUUUUUAAAAAAUCAAUAAGUUAGGAUAAAGUUUUAACUAGCUUAAUUAAAUUAAUCUGAAUUUUUUAUUAUAUUAAUUAUUUGUUUUUUAAUUUUUUCUUUAAUUUAGAUACGUUUAGAUUCUAAAUCAACUUGCUGGCUAAUCCGAAAUUUAUAUCUAAGGAAAUAAGUUUGAACCUACCAAGUUUUUUCUUCGAUGAUAAUCGACCUUGAUAUUGUAAUAAACACAAAAUUCUAAUUGCGCAAGGUUCAUGGACAAAUUCACAACCAUUAUAAUCCUGCUGCUAAACGUUUGACUUGGCAAGUUGAAAGAGACUCCUAUCCUUUCUGUACAACCUUAACCUCCUGUUUCAGACAACCUUAUCUGUCUGACGUUAUAAUCUACCAUGAAAAACACCUUCCUUUCUCUUUCUCUCCCUGCUUCUUGGAUUGAAAUGAAGAAAUUCAACAACAAGCUUGAUCUUGUCUUGCUUCUACUUCCUAUAAUCCUGUUUUUGCAACCCAUAUCGGCUAUUGACUUUGUCUUCAAUGGAUUCAAUUCCUCUAGUGUUUCACUCUAUGGCUCUGCCAUCAUUGAAUCUCGCAUUCUUACACUUACAAAUCAAACAUCUUUCCAAAUUGGCCGUGCUUUGUACCCAACAAAGAUACCAACCAAAGCUCCAAAUUCUUCAUUUGUGUAUCCAUUUUCCACUUCUUUUAUUUUUGCUAUGGUCCCUUACAAGAAUGUUCUUCCUGGGCAUGGCCUGGCUUUUCUUUUUGUGCCCUUUACAAGCAUUCAAAGCUCUAUUUCAGCUCAAUAUUUAGGCUUUCUGAAUCGUACGAACGGUAACCGUUCAGAUGAUCAUCUGCUUGGCAUCGAGUUUGAUGUGUUCGCAAAUGAAGAAUUCAGUGAUAUGAAUGACAAUCAUGUUGGAAUAGAUGUAAAUACACUUACAUCAAUUAAAGCAGCAGAUGCAGGCUAUUGGCCUGAUAAUUCAAGGAGCAGCAGCAAUGAGAACACCAGUGAUGAGGAUAGUAAUUCUUUCAAGGAACAGGAUCUAAAUAAUGGUAAAAACUACCAAGUUUGGAUUGACUAUGAAGAUUCUAUAAUUAAUGUUACUAUGGCUCCGGCCGGCAUGAAAAGGCCUACCAGGCCUUUAUUGAAUGUGUCUCUUAAUCUAUCUGAUGUUUUUGAGGAUGAGAUGUAUGUGGGAUUCACUUCUUCAACCGGACUACUUGUUGAAAAUCACAAGAUUUUGGCAUGGAGCUUUAGCAAUUCCAAUUUUUCGUUGAGUGAGAGGUUAAUCACUACUGGGUUGCCAUCGUUCGUUCUUCCAAAAGAUCCAUUUUAUCGGUCUAAAGUGUUCAUUGCAGGAGCCACAGUGGGAGGGGUCCUUCUUGUUGUUUCUGCUGCUACAAUUAUAUGGUUUUUGAUUAAGAGAAGACAAAGGAAAGCAAGGGAGAGAGAGGAAAUGGAGGAUUGGGAAUUGGAGUACUGGCCACAUCAAGUUAGGUAUCAAGAAAUCGAGGCAGCAACAAAAGGAUUCAGUGAAGAAAAUGUUAUUGGAAUCGGAGGAAAUGGAAAGGUCUAUAAGGGUGUUUUACCAGGAGGGACAGAGAUUGCAGUGAAGCGCAUUUCACAUGAAAAUGAUGGGAUGAGGGAGUUUUUAGCUGAAAUUUCAAGUCUUGGAAGGUUGAAGCAUAGGAGUUUGGUGGGGCUGAGAGGUUGGUGCAAGAGAGAAAGAGGAGUCUUCAUGUUGGUAUAUGACUACAUGGAAAAUGGGAGUUUGGAGAAGAGGGUGUUCGAUUGUGAUGAGAGUAAAAUGUUGAGCUGUGAAGAGAGAAUAAGAAUUUUGAAAGAUGUGGCUUCUGCAUUAUUGUAUCUGCACGAGGGAUGGGAUUCUCAAGUCCUACACAGAGACAUUAAGGCCAGCAACGUGUUACUUGACAAGGAUAUGAAUGGAAGGUUAGGUGAUUUUGGAUUGGCUCGAGUGCACGGGCAUGGUCAAGUGCCUAGCACCACGCGGGUGGUUGGAACCAUAGGAUACAUGGCACCUGAGGUGGUUCGAAGUGGAAGAGCCUCAGCUCGAACCGAUGUGUUUGGUUUUGGGGUCUUGAUUUUGGAGGUCAUGUGUGGAAGGAGGCCUAUAGAAGAAGGGCAGCCACCUUUGUUAGAAUCGGUUUGGCAGUUGAUGAUGCAAGGGCAGUCACUUUAUGCCUUGGAUGAGCGACUAAAGGCUAGAGGAGAACAAUUUGACGAAGGAGAAGUAGAGAGAAUGCUUCAUCUAGGCUUAUUGUGUGCAUAUCCUGACUCU
rnacentral:lncRNA from 1 species